UUGGAGAGUUUGAUUCUGGCUCAGGACGAACGCUGGCGGCGUGCUUAACACAUGCAAGUCGAACGGAAAGGCCCUUCGGGGUACUCGAGUGGCGAACGGGUGAGUAACACGUGGGUGAUCUGCCCUGCACUUUGGGAUAAGCCUGGGAAACUGGGUCUAAUACCGAAUACACCUCAUUGACUGCAUGGUUGGUGGGGAAAGCUUUGCGGUGUGGGAUGGGCCCGCGGCCUAUCAGCUUGUUGGUGAGGUUACGGCUCACCAAGGCGACGACGGGUAGCCGGCCUGAGAGGGUGACCGGCCACACUGGGACUGAGAUACGGCCCAGACUCCUACGGGAGGCAGCAGUGGGGAAUAUUGCACAAUGGGCGCAAGCCUGAUGCAGCGACGCCGCGUGGGGGAUGACGGCCUUCGGGUUGUAAACUCCUUUCAGCACAGACGAAGCGCAAGUGACGGUAUGUGCAGAAGAAGGACCGGCCAACUACGUGCCAGCAGCCGCGGUAAUACGUAGGGUCCGAGCGUUGUCCGGAAUUACUGGGCGUAAAGAGCUCGUAGGUGGUUUGUCGCGUUGUUCGUGAAAACUCACAGCUUAACUGUGGGCGUGCGGGCGAUACGGGCAGACUUGAGUACUGCAGGGGAGACUGGAAUUCCUGGUGUAGCGGUGGAAUGCGCAGAUAUCAGGAGGAACACCGGUGGCGAAGGCGGGUCUCUGGGCAGUAACUGACGCUGAGGAGCGAAAGCGUGGGGAGCGAACAGGAUUAGAUACCCUGGUAGUCCACGCCGUAAACGGUGGGUACUAGGUGUGGGUUUCCUUCCUUGGGAUCCGUGCCGUAGCUAACGCAUUAAGUACCCCGCCUGGGGAGUACGGCCGCAAGGCUAAAACUCAAAGAAAUUGACGGGGGCCCGCACAAGCGGCGGAGCAUGUGGAUUAAUUCGAUGCAACGCGAAGAACCUUACCUGGGUUUGACAUGCACAGGACGCUGGUAGAGAUAUCAGUUCCCUUGUGGCCUGUGUGCAGGUGGUGCAUGGCUGUCGUCAGCUCGUGUCGUGAGAUGUUGGGUUAAGUCCCGCAACGAGCGCAACCCCUAUCUUAUGUUGCCAGCGCGUCAUGGCGGGGACUCGUAAGAGACUGCCGGGGUCAACUCGGAGGAAGGUGGGGAUGACGUCAAGUCAUCAUGCCCCUUAUGUCCAGGGCUUCACACAUGCUACAAUGGCCGGUACAGAGGGCUGCGAAUCCGUAAGGUGGAGCGAAUCCCUUCAAAGCCGGUCUCAGUUCGGAUCGGGGUCUGCAACUCGACCCCGUGAAGUCGGAGUCGCUAGUAAUCGCAGAUCAGCAACGCUGCGGUGAAUACGUUCCCGGGCCUUGUACACACCGCCCGUCACGUCAUGAAAGUCGGUAACACCCGAAGCCGGUGGCCUAACCCCUCGUGGGAGGGAGCCGUCGAAGGUGGGAUCGGCGAUUGGGACGAAGUCGUAACAAGGUAGCCGUACCGGAAGGUGCGGCUGGAUCACCUCCUUU
rnacentral:rRNA from 1 species